rnacentral:rRNA from 1 species
UACAGAGGGGGCAAGCGUUGUUCGGAAUUACUGGGCGUAAAGGGCGCGUAGGCGGCCUUCUAAGUCGAACGUGAAAUCCCCGGGCUCAACCCGGGAACUGCGUCCGAUACUGGAAGGCUUGAAUCCGGGAGAGGGAUGCGGAAUUCCAGGUGUAGCGGUGAAAUGCGCAGAUAUCGGGAAGAACACCCGUGGCGAAGGCGGCUCUCUGGGACGGUACUGACGCUGAGACGCGAAAGCGUGGGGAGCGAACAGG